UACGGGGGGGGCAAGCGUUGUUCGGAAUUACUGGGCGUAAAGGGUUUGUAGGUGGCUUGCUAAGUCAGACGUGAAAUCCCUCAGCUUAACUGGGGAACUGCGUCUGAUACUGGUGAGCUUGAGUGCAGGAGAGGAACGCGGAAUUCCAGGUGUAGCGGUGGAAUGCGCAGAUAUCAGGAGGAACACCGGUGGCGAAGGCGGUUCUCUGGGAAUUACCUGACGCUGAGGAGCGAAAGCAUGGGGAGCGAACAGG
rnacentral:rRNA from 1 species